CCCUUAGAGUUUGAUCCUGGCUCAGAACGAACGUUGGCGGCGUGGAUUAGGCAUGCAAGUCGAACGAAUGCUAGUCCUGUAGCAAUACAGGGCUAGCGGAAGUGGCGAAAGGGGCAGUAAUGUGUGGGUAACCUACCUUGGGGAUGGGCAUAGCCGUUCUAACGAACGGGUAAUUCCCAGCGAUUCGGCGAGGUGGCAUCAUCUUGCCGGGAAAUGAGUUUCGCCUCGAGAGGGGCCCACAUGCUAUUAGCUAGUUGGUGGGGUAACGGCCUACCAAGGCUAAGAUGGCUAGCGGGUGUGAGAGCACGACCCGCGCCACUGGCACUGAGACACUGGCCAGACACCUACGGGUGGCUGCAGUCGAGGAUCUUCGUCAAUGGGCGCAAGCCUGAACGAGCGACGCCGCGUGCGCGAUGAAGGCCUUCGGGUUGUAAAGCGCGAAAGAGGGAAGAAAGCGAAAGUUGAUCGACCCUCAGUAAGGACGGGCUAAGUUCGUGCCAGCAGCCGCGGUAAGACGAACUGUCCAAACAUUGUUCGGAAUCACUGGGCUUAAAGGGCGCGUAGGCGGUCUGGUAAGUCGGGGGUGAAAUCCUGCAGCUCAACUGCAGAAGGGCCUUCGAUACUGCCAGUCUGGAGGGAGAUAGGGGGUGUGUGGAACUUCCAGUGGAGCGGUGAAAUGCGUUGAUAUUGGAAGGAACGCCGGAGGCGAAAGCGACGCACUGGAUCUCUUCUGACGCUGAGCGCGAAAGCUAGGGAGCAAACGGGAUAGAUACCCCGGUAGUCUAGCCUAACGUGAGUACUAGAUGUAGACUAUCAUGGGUUACAGUCGAGCAAAGUUUAGUACU
rnacentral:rRNA from 1 species